CAGCAGCUGGCAGUACUCUUUAUGGUAGCUGCUCUACGAGCUGUGUCCCAGAGAAAGGACAACAUGGGAUACAAUACCUAGGCAAACCACAACUGAAAGGCAACAUGAGAAGAGGAAAAAUGCCAUGUGAAGAUGGAAAUAUACCAUAGGAUGACAGAGGAAGAGAUUGGAAUGAUGCAGUUGCAAGCCAAGGCAUAGCAAGAUUUGAUGUUUAUCACUGGAGGCUGGGAAGAAGCAAGGAGAGAUUCUACCCAGAGUCUCAGAGCAACCAUGGCCAUGAUGACAACUUGAUUUUGGAUUUUUGGCCUCCAGAACUAUGAGAGAAUAAAUUUCUUGUGUUUUAAGCUAUUCAGUUUGUGAUACUUAGUAGGGGCAUCCCUAGGAAACUAAUACAAUUUAUUUAUCUCUUUCUUAUAUCAUCACAUCACUUAACCAGC
rnacentral:lncRNA from 1 species